UACGUAGGGUCCGAGCGUUGUCCGGAAUUAUUGGGCGUAAAGGGCGCGUAGGCGGCCACGCACGUCCGUUGUGAAAUCGCUCGGCUCAACUGGGCGGGGUCAGCGGAUACGGAGUGGCUGGAGCAAGCUAGGGGGCAAUGGAAUUCCCGGUGUAGUGGUGGAAUGCGUAGAUAUCGGGAGGAACACCAGUGGCGAAGGCGGUUGCCUGGAGCUUUGCUGACGCUGAUGCGCGAAAGCGUGGGGAGCGAUCCGG
rnacentral:rRNA from 1 species